rnacentral:rRNA from 1 species
CAGAACUCCCUUGAGAGCCGUGACAGACCAUCACGUCGAUAGGAGGCAUGUGGACGGGCGGCAACGCCUGAAGCUGAGCCUUACUAAUCGCUCGAUCGGCUUGAUCCUU